UGCUUCUUCGUUCUUCACUGCAGCUUCCAUCGUCCUCUUCUCAUCUGCUUCUGCUUCUUCCGCUUCCAUAUUCUGCUUCUGCUUGUUGCGAGACGAGCCAGAGGACCCGGAGGAUUCACUCGCCGGCGAUGCUCUUGAUCGAUCCUCCGGUGAUCGCUGCUCCACGAGGAAGAUCGUUAGGUCGCAGUGCAAGACCGAGGAGGUUGAGCCCGGAAGAUUCAUUAGCAAGUGUGAGAAAACGGAAGAGAUUCUCAGAGACUGUAUUGGAAAGAAUUUCAGAUUGUUCUUGUUGGGCCCAGAAAGUUUCUCCAUAGUAGUCGGAAACACUUGUACUCUCCAAGAAGCCUGUAUUCAACUCUGCAAACAGCUUCAUCAUUUCCAUGCUCAUAUCCAUCUCUGAGUAAAAAUCAACGGUGCUAAUUAAAGCUCUUCAAUUCUGUCUACACUGUAAUAUGCCUCAAUUAUUUUGCUUUCAGAGGGAUUUAGAAGGAAAUACAUAUAUAGAUAUAUAGAGAGUAGGAAACCAGUGAUGUAUGAAUGAAUAUAUCUCUAUGAAUUAUGAUUAAUAUUUUGUCAUUAACAAGUGGGGUAUCUCUGUAACUUUGGUUUUCCUUUGUACUCAAGUAAAAACCGAGUUUACACA